rnacentral:rRNA from 1 species
GACGAACGCUGGCGGCGUGCUUAACACAUGCAAGUCGAACGAAGUGGCGAACGGGUGAGUAACGCGUAAUCAACCUGCCCUUCAGAGGGGGACAACAGUUGGAAACGACUGCUAAUACCGCAUACUGAAGGAGGGGAUUGCGUCGGAUUAGCUAGUUGGAGGGGUAACGGCCCACCAAGGCGAUGAUCAGUAGCCGGUCUGAGGGGAGGAACGGGCCAAAUGGGACUUGGACACGGCCCAAGCUCCUACGGGAGGCAGCAGUGGGGAAUCUUCCGCAAUGGGCGAAAGUCUGACGGGGCAACGCCGCGUGAGUGAUGACGGCCUUCGGGUUGUAAAGCUCUGUUAAUCGGGACGCGGUACCGGAAUAGAAAGCCACGGCUAACUACGUGCCAGCAGCCGCGGUAAUUC